rnacentral:tRNA from 1 species
GGAGAGUUGCGCGAGUGGUAAGCGGUCACGCUGCUAAUGUGAAGCCCUCGGUUUCGAGGCGAAGGUUCAAAUCCUUCACUCUCCGCCA